AUUGAACGCUGGCGGCAUGCUUUACACAUGCAAGUCGAACGGCAGCACGGACUUCGGUCUGGUGGCGAGUGGCGAACGGGUGAGUAAUACAUCGGAACGUACCCAGUAAUGGGGGAUAACUAUCCGAAAGGAUAGCUAAUACCGCAUACGCCCUACGGGGGAAAGAGGGGGAUCGCAAGACCUCUUGUUAUUGGAGCGGCCGAUGGCUGAUUAGCUAGUUGGUAGGGUAAAGGCCUAGCAAGGCAACGAUCAGUAGCGGGUCUUAGAGGACGAUCCGCCACACUGGAACUGAGACACGGUCCAGACUCCUACGGGAGGCAGCAGUGGGGAAUCUUGGACAAUGGGCGCAAGCCUGAUCCAGCAAUGCCGCGUGCGUGAAGAAGGCCUUCGGGUUGUAAAGCGCUUUUGUCAGGGAGCAAAAGGUGGUGGCUAAUAUCCAUCGCUCUUGAGAGUACCUGAAGAAUAGGGACCGGCUAACUACGUGCCAGCCGCCGCCGUAAUAC
rnacentral:rRNA from 1 species